rnacentral:misc_RNA from 1 species
GCCCUUCGCUCCGUAAUGUGAAUUGCAGAAUUCAGUUACUCAUCUAAUCUUUGAACGCACAUUGCGCCCGCCAGUAUUCUGGCGGGCAUGCCUGUCCGAGCGUCAUUUCAACCAUCAAGCCCCCGGGCUUGUGUUGGGGACCUGCGGCUGCCCGCAGGCCCUGAAAACCAGUGGCGGGCUCGCUGUCACACCGAGCGUAGUAGCAAUCACCUCGCUCAGGGCGUGCUGCGGGUUCCGGCCGUUAAACAGCCUUACAAAACCCAAGGUUGACCUCGGAUCAGGUAGGAAGACCCGCUGAACUUAAGC